rnacentral:rRNA from 1 species
AUUGAACGCUGGCGGCAGGCCUAACACAUGCAAGUCGAACGAGCGGCGGACGGGUGAGUAAUGUCUGGGUAACUGCCCGAUGGAGGGGGAUAACUACUGGAAACGGUAGCUAAUACCGCAUACCAUCAGAUGAACCCAGAUGGGAUUAGCUAGUAGGUGGGGUAAAGGCUUACCUAGGCGACGCUCCCUAGCUGGUAUGAGAGGAUGACCAGCAACACUGGAACUGAGACACGGUCCAUACUCCUACGUGAGGCAGCAGUGGGGAAUAUUGCACAAUGGGCACAAGCCUGAUGCAGCCAUGCCGCGUGUAUGAAGAAGGCCUUAGGGUUGUAAAGUACUUUCAGCGGGGAGGCGUUACCCACAGAAGAAGCACCGGCUAACUCCGUGCCAGCAGCCGCGGUAAUUC